rnacentral:rRNA from 1 species
CUGGCGGCAUGCCUAUACAUGCAGUCGAACGCUUUGACUUCAUCGGGUGCUUGCACCCACCGAAGUCAAAGAGUGGCGGACGGGUGAGUAACACGUGGGUAACCUGCCCAUAAGAGGAGGAUAACAUUCGGAAACGGAUGCUAAUACCGCAUACUUCUAAUCGCCUCCUGGCGAAUGGAAAAAAGGUGGCUUCGGCUACCGCUUAUGGAUGGACCCGCGGCGUAUUAGCUAGUUGGUGAGGUAAUGGCUCACCAAGGCGAUGAUACGUAGCCGACCUGAGAGGGUGAUCGGCCACACUGGGACUGAGACACGGCCCAGACUCCUACGGGAGGCAGCAGUAGGGAAUCUUCCGCAAUGGACGAAAGUCUGACGGAGCAAUGCCGCGUGAGUGAAGAAGGUUUUCGGAUCGUAAAACUCUGUUGUUAGAGAAGAACAAGGAUGAGAGUAACUGCUCAUCCCCUGACGGUAUCUAACCAGAAAGCCACGGCUAACUACGUGCCAGCAGCCGCGGUAAU